GACCUGGAAGCUGACGAACCUGGGCAAGGUGACAGCCGUAUCUGGUAUGGGUAUGGUAGAGUCACACUUGCUACCUGAAGGUGCUAGCCUGGAUGAGGCACAUGACCUUUCCACUCACAUGAGAAGGACCCAUGGGGAGGAUUUUGCCACAUUAACUAGAUGGGAAAAAAAAGUCACACUUUUGUGUGUCAAAAUGGGGGGAUGGAUUAUUAUGGCGGAUGACUCACUGUCUCUCUCAUGGCAGGCAAAACCAAUGGAUGUUCACUCUCAACUUUUCGACCCCCUCCUCAUCCUAACCCUGCUGUGCUGUCCUGUCCUGCUUAGCCAGUUGCCAGGAAAUCCAGCUAAUGAGGCCAGGCUCAUGAUUUAGGACAUUGGUUCAAUGGCUGGUGGUCCUGGAACCUUGGGUCUAUAGGUGGCGGGGAUGGAGACUCAUGAGUUGUUGACCUGUACUAAGUUUGCCCAGCAUAACCUGUGUUGGUGGCAAAUGUUCUUGCUAGGCACAAAAAUGCAUACUGAGCAUUCAUUUUGGAAAAAGGCAUCUAUUAUCUUUCAGUGUGAUUUACUUCAUGGGUGUCUUUGGUUGGGUCCCAUAAGCAGAACCAAAGACAGGGAUUCAGAGGUGAGUAAUUUAUUGCAGGCAGCUCUCAGAAGAAACCAAUAAGGAAGUCAGGGAAGCAAGACCUAACAGGAAGAAACGAGGCAACAAUAUGGGUUCACUAAAAUCUAGUUGCAGCCUGAUUUCAUACAUACGGAGGAGUGUGAAUGGCACCAUAGAAGUUCCACCUUGAGCAAGGAGCCAGUUAUCACAUGUGACUUGUACUCUAGUGUGUAUAUAUGUGGAAGGGGAGUACAUAACCUCUGAGCAUUUUCAGUUAGCAGCAACUAAGCUCUUUAGUAACCAAUGUUCAAAGCACCUAGGGGCUGAUUCACUUGGAGAUCUCCAAAGUGGGGGAGAGAAAAGACAGAAUGGAUUCUUAGAAGUAAAAAAGGAUCUGAUGAUUUCUCCCUGGAAUAUUGGCAUUUUGAUGAAGAAUCUGCUUUUGGAGCUAAAGGAGUGAAUCAGUUAUUGCAAAAUUAGGUAGUGUUUUGGGAAAAAAAUUAAAAAUAUUUCUAUAAUAAUGUAUGCAAGAAAAAAGUCAUCUCCCUCAUCUGCCAAAUCUGUCCUCUCCCAUCAUAGUUAGCCACUGUCAUUUGCUUCUAGUGUAACUUCCCUGAGUUUCUUUACCCAUAUGUAAGUAAUAUGAAUGUGUAUGUUUGCUUCCUACUAUUUUUGUAAAGUUGUAAUUGAC
rnacentral:lncRNA from 1 species